rnacentral:tRNA from 1 species
GCCUGGGUGGCUCAGUUGGUUGAGCGUCUGACUUUGGCUCAAGGUCACAAUCUCAUGGUCCGUGAGUUCAAGCCCCACAUCGGGCU